CUUGUUUAUGUUGGGGCCGGAGACCCCUGUUUCUGCCCCUGCUCGCACAGCCGUGGUGACUCAAACCACCCCUCGGUUGCUGCUCCCACCACCUGACUCUGCUGGGUCAGAGUCGUCAAGCGCUCCCUCGACUGCAGUGGCAGAUCCACCCUCCAUUUCCCUGGCCGUUCCAUCCGCCAGUUAUGCGGCUGAAAGUGAAGUACGCCGGUCAGCCAGGUCGACGGCUGGCCAGCACCCAAACCUCUAUCAUCUUCCGCGACCUGUAGGGAACUUGGCAUCUGGGGCUGCAAAUCCCCCUGGUCCAGUGUCAAAUGCCGUUACUGCGCUCUUUAGGCCGUGGAGUUAGUUGGGUGAUCCUCUGGAUCAGUUGUUCCAUCGUCGGGACGACGAUGAAGUCAAUGGGGGUAGAAUGUAGCAGGAUGGGCCUUUAAUUAGUGCUGCAGUACCGGCCUAUCACUGUUGGGUGCGCUGCCUAUAAAGGUGGGUGGUUGUGCACUGGGAGCACUCUUGCCUGGGAGCUCCUGGCUACCCCGCCCCCUGUUGUCACCGAAACCUGAUCGCCUCACCUGAUCGCCUUUUAGUUGGAUCGUGCAGCUCGCCGUUGUUUGGCAGUUUAUUGGCCGGGUCUUCCCUCUCCCGUAUCGACCCCAGUUGUAGGGCGUGCGAGUGUUUCCUCCUCUACCUGUUGCAGCGGGGAGCGAUCAGCUGUAGAUCGAGUUGCACUUGUAAUGGUGUUGCUCGCUACAGGUGGUCCCCUUCCUCCCCUUGAUGUUCAUUCAACUCCUGACGGGUUGACGUGUGUGUGGGCGGUUUCUGCCAGCACGUCCCCCCCCCUCUUCACGCUGCUGUUGGCCGGCUGCCGUUUUGUCCACUGAUUAUAUAGCCAACACAUCGAUCCUACUCUGCAUCUCCUACUGUGCUGUACCUGCCCCGAGUAUGGUGAUUGCUGCCUCACCCUAAGUCUCAUUAUUUUGAUCCAUUCAUUUAACAGACUUCCAACUGAUCUUAUUGAUGAUAUUAUUUGUGUUUUGUGGGUUGCUUUGCAUGUUUGUUUUGGCUUAAUUGCUUUACUUAUCCAUGAUAUUAUUUGUGUUUUGUGGGUUGCUUUGCAUGGUUGUUUUGGUUUAAUUCGUUUUCUUAGUUAUUUUGGUUUGGUUUAAUUGCUUUACUUAUUCAUUUGGAUUUAUCAGUUUGGAUAAAUCUCCUUUACUUUUGAUUUAAAACCCAUUUAGUUAUUUGCUCUUCCCUUUUUGUGUAUUUUGUGUGUGUGUGUGUGUGUG